rnacentral:rRNA from 1 species
GACGAACGCUGGCGGCGUGCUUAACACAUGCAAGUCGAGCGGUAAGGCCCUUUCGGGGGUACGACGAGCGGCGAACGGGUGAGUAACACGUGGGUGACCUGCCCUCAGCUCUGGGAUAAGCCCGGGAAACUGGGUCUAAUACCGGAUAUGACUUCAUGACGCAUGUUGUGGAGUGGAAAGCCUUGUGCGGCUGAGGAUGGGCCCGCGGCCUAUCAGCUUGUUGG